GACGAACGCUGGCGGCGUGCUUAACACAUGCAAGUCGAACGGUAAGGCCCCUUCGGGGGUACACGAGUGGCGAACGGGUGAGUAACACGUGAGCAACCUUCCCUUGACUCUGGAAUAACAGUUGGAAACAGCUGCUAAUACUGGAUAUUCAUCGUCUCCUUCCUGGGGGGUGGUGGAAAGCUCCGGCGGUCAGGGAUGGGCUCGCGGCCUAUCAGCUUGUUGGUGAGGUAAUGGCUCACCAAGGCUUCGACGGGUAGCCGGCCUGAGAGGGCGACCGGCCACACUGGGACUGAGAUACGGCCCAGACUCCUACGGGAGGCAGCAGUGGGGAAUAUUGCACAAUGGGCGCAAGCCUGAUGCAGCAACGCCGCGUGCGGGAUGACGGCCUUCGGGUUGUAAACCGCUUUCAGUAGGGACGAAGGGUGACUGACGGUACCUACAGAAGAAGGACCGGCUAACUACGUG
rnacentral:rRNA from 1 species